AAUCCGGGGUUUCAAGGCCGAGAGCUGAUGACGAGUCGUCUUUUAGAUGACGAAGUGGUUGAUGCCAUGCUUCCAAGAAAAGCUUCUAAGCUUCAGGUAAUCAGGAACCGUACCCCAAACCGACACAGGUGGUCGGGUAGAGAAUACCAAGGCGCUUGAGAGAACUCGGGUGAAGGAACUAGGCAAAAUGGCACCGUAACU
rnacentral:rRNA from 1 species